CAAAGGUUUGGUCCCAGCCUUUCUAUUGACUCUUAGUUGGAUUACACAUGCAAGUAUCAGCGUUCCAGUGAAAAUGCCCUUAAAAUCACCAAUGACAAAAAGGAGCAGGUAUCAAGCACGCUAACAAGCAGCUCACGACACCUUGCCUAGCCACACCCCCACGGGAUACAGCAGUGAUAAAAAUUAAGCCAUGAACGAAAGUUUGACUUAGCCAUACUAAUAUUAGGGUUGGUAAAUCUCGUGCCAGCCACCGCGGUCAUACGAUUAACCCAAGUUAAUAGACACACGGCGUAAAGCGUGUUAAGGAAUCCAUAACAUAAUAAAGUUAAAUCUGGACUAUGCUGUAAAAUGCCUGAGCCCAGACAAAAAUAAACCACGAAAGUGACUUUAAAUCAUCCGACCACACGAUAGCUAAGACACAAACUGGGAUUAGAUACCCCACUAUGCUUAGCCCUAAACCUAAAUAGUAAAAACAACAAUACUAUUCGCCAGAGUACUACUAGCAAUAGCUUAAAACUCAAAGGACUUGGCGGUGCUUUAUAUCCCUCUAGAGGAGCCUGUUCUGUAAUCGAUAAACCCCGAUAAACCUCACCAACCCUUGCUAAUACAGCCUAUAUACCGCCAUCUUCAGCAAACCCUAAAAAGGAAACAUAGUAAGCAAAACCAUUAAACAUAAAAACGUUAGGUCAAGGUGUAGCCUAUGGGUUGGAAAGAAAUGGGCUACAUUUUCUAAAAUAGAACAACAUACGGAAACUCUCGUGAAACCGAGAGCAGAAGGAGGAUUUAGUAGUAAAUUAAGAAUAGAGAGCUUAAUUGAAUAAGGCCAUGAAGCACGCACACACCGCCCGUCACCCUCCUCAAGUAUCAAGCUACACUCAAUCAACCCUAUUAACAACUGUACACACAUAUUAGAGGAGACAAGUCGUAACAAGGUAAGCGUACUGGAAAGUGCGCUUGGACAAAU
rnacentral:ncRNA from 1 species